ACACGUAGGGGCCUGACGUUGUUCGGAAUCAUUGGGCGUAAAGGGCGCGCAGGCGGCCGUCCAAGUCCGGUGUUAAAUGGUCGGGCUCAACCCGAUCAUGCGCUGGAAACUGGGCGGCUGGAGUCCCGGAGGGGAUGCCGGAAUUCCAGGUGUAGGGGUGAAAUCUGUAGAUAUCUGGAAGAACACCGAUGGCGAAGGCAGGCAUCUGGCCGGAGACUGACGCUGAGGCGCGAAGGCGCGGGGAGCGAACAGGUUUAGAUACCCUGGUAGUCCGCGCAGUAAACGAUGCGCACCAGGUGUCGGGCGGCAGCGCCCGGUACCGGAGCAAACGCGAUGAGUGCGCCACCUGGGGAGUAUGCCCGCAAGGGUGAAACUCAAAUGAAUUGACGGGG
rnacentral:rRNA from 1 species